CCUACGGGGGGCAGCAGUGGGGAAUAUUGCACAAUGGGGGAAACCCUGAAGCAGCGACGCCGCGUGAGGGAAGAAGGCUUUCGGUAUGUAAAGCUCUUUUAGCAGGGAAGAAAAUGACGGUACCUGAUUAAGAAUCCCCGGCUAACUACGUGACAGCAGCCGCGGUAAUACGGAGGGGGCAAGCGUUAUACGGAUUUACUGGGUGUAAAGGGGGCGUAGACGGCAUAACAAGUCUGGAGUGAAAUGCCGGGGCUUAACCCCGGAACUGCCUUGGAAACUGUGCAGCUAGAGUGCAGGAGAGGUAAGUGGAAUUCUUAGUGUAGCGGUGAAAUGCGUAGAUAUCAGGCGGAACACCAGUGGCGAAGGCGGCUUACUGGACUGUAACUGACGUUGAGGCACGAAAGCGUGGGGAGCAAACAGGAUUAGAUACCCCUGUAGUC
rnacentral:rRNA from 1 species